rnacentral:tRNA from 1 species
UCAUCGACUAGACGACGGGGUCGAGGUCGUUGUUGUCGUCCGUGAUCAGGUCGUUGAUCUGCUCCUCGCGUACGGCCUCCUGUUCGGCGAUC